rnacentral:rRNA from 1 species
UACAGAGGACUCAAGCGUUGUUCGGAAUCACUGGGCGUAAAGCGUUUGUAGGUGGUUUUUCAAGUCAGAUGUGAAAGCCCUGGGCUCAACCCGGGAAGUGCGUCUGAUACUGGGAAACUCGAGUGCGGGAGAGGAAAGUGGAAUUCCUAGUGUAGGAGUGAAAUCCGUAGAUAUUAGGAGGAAUACCGAUGGCGAAGGCAGCUUUCUGGCCCGUUACUGACACUGAGAAACGAAAGCGUGGGUAGCAAACAGG